GGCUGCGUAGCAUAACUGGAAAUGCUGCCGACUUUUAAUCGGUUUGAUCUGAGUUCGAGCCUCAGCCCAACCA
rnacentral:tRNA from 1 species